UGUCUUUUUGAAAAUAAUAUAAAGUCUAAUCUGCCCACUGAUUUAAUAUUAAAGGGCUGCAGUAUAUUGACUGUACAAAGGUAGCAUAAUCAUUAGUCAUUUAAUUGGUGACUUGUAUGAAGGAUUGGAUGAAAUAUAAACUGUCUCUUAAUUAUUGUGUUAGAAUUUAAUUUUUUAAUUAAAAAGUUAAAAUAUAUUAAAAAGACGAGAAGACCCUAUAGAGUUUUAUGAAUUAAAUUAAUUAAGAUUAUUUGUAAGAAUUAAAAUUAAAAUUAAUUUAUUUAUUUUGUUGGGGUGACAGAAAAAUAUAAUAAACUUUUUAUAUAUUUAAAACAUUAAUAAGUGAUUAAAUGAUCCAAUAUUAUUGAUUAUAAGAAAAAAUUACCUUAGGGAUAACAGCGUAAUUUUUUUUUUUAGUUCAUAUAAAAAAAAAAGUUUGCGACCUCGAUGUUGGAUUAAGAUAAAAUUUAAAUGCAGAAG
rnacentral:rRNA from 27 species